GACGAACCGUGCGAACGUUAUUCGGAAUCAUUGGGCUUAAAGCGCGUGUAGGCGGAUGGGAACGUCGGCUUUGAAAGCCCCCGGCUCAACCGGGGAAGGGGCGCCGAUACGACCGUCCUGGAGGGACGUAGGGGGACCUGGAACUUCCGGUGGAGCGGUGAAAUGCGUUGAGAUCGGAAGGAACGCCCGUGGCGAAAGCGAGGUCCUGGACGUUUACUGACGCUGAGACGCGAAAGCCAGGGGAGCGAACGGG
rnacentral:rRNA from 1 species